AGCUCUACGGGACGCAGCAGUAGGGAAUCUUCCACAAUGGACGAAAGUCUGAUGGAGCAACGCCGCGUGAGUGAAGAAGGGUUUCGGCUCGUAAAGCUCUGUUGGUAGUGGAGAGAGAUAGAGGGAGUAACUGGCCUUUAUUUGACGGUAAUUACUUAGAAAGGCACGGCUAACUACGUGCCAGCAGCCGCGGGAAUACGGAGGUGGCAAGCGUUGUCCGGAUUUAUUGGGCGUAAAGCGAGUGCAGGCGG
rnacentral:rRNA from 1 species